GAAGGAAGCAGCCCGGAGAGGUGGCGUGAAGGAGGAGGACAUCGAUCGGAGAGAGGAACAAAGAGAAUUACAAAUCGUUACACGCCGGGUUGCGGUGCAGGCGAGAACAUGGUGGCGUGUGGAUGACGAGAAGUUAAUUCUUCACCUUUCCUAAAGCGGCCCUGCUGUAGGGACUGAGGGAGAGAAGCAAUCUGCACCCCACUAAUCCUUCUUAUUAGAAGAUCUAGUUACAACCAAAAUUACCAAUGGGGAAAGAAUUGUCCAGUGAUUAUAAAAAUCCAUCGGGUUUUUAUUUUGUAAUAUCUACAGUAAUUUUUAAGGGUGUGGCUUUUUUAAAAAUAGAGAUUGUAAAUUUAGGAAAACUGUGCAUCUUUCAGUAAAAAGUACAGAGGUUAGUGAUAUGAUUUCCUAAUUUUGAAAUGCUAUUUACUAGUAUCCUGUAAGCGAAACGAAUGCUUUGUAUUUCCGAAUUAAAAUGCUUAAAACAAUCAGUCUUUUUCACUGAGCUUACAAAUGGUUAUUUCUCUUCUUCACUAAUGUUUGAUUUGGCUUAGUAAUAACAUGAAGAGCUACAAAUCUGUCAUAUAGUAAUUUUGCUUCCUUCAUAUUUCAAUAUCUGAAACAGUGCAUUUUUAGCUACUUCUUUCACUGUUGUUAUAUCUUUGGACUCAGCCUUAGAAGUCUGGCUUAUAAGAAGGAGAGACAAAUCACCACAUCUGGCAAAUCAUUAAAAAGUAGGAAGUAUAGCAGAGUCUAAAACAGUAUAUACUGUACUUUUUAGUGGACUUGGAUGUUUUUAAAUAGUAUGGUUAACUUUUAACAUGUAAAACUAAUUUUUUUUUAUUCCUAUUGAGAGAGAGUACUUUAGCAUGAAAAAUCUACAUGUUCCCCUGAGAAAUAUUUGAAAAAAGUGAGUCUUCUACAUAAAUUAAGAUAUAAGGAUCAUGACAUGUAUAACCCGUCUAAUUUCUAAAUUAGGAGAACUUUGGAUCAAGAGCAUCAAAUCAAGCUUACUAAAAUAACGUUAAAGGAAAAGGAGCCUUUCCAUUAUUUUAUUAGAAGUGUUAUGAUUCAAAUCUAAAUGCUCAGUAUAUUAAUCCUGCAUUUUUCUGCUGUUAGCAACAUGUAUGCAGAAGUAACAGUGCUUUUUUAAAAUAAAGUUUGACUUUUAGUGUUGGAGAAAGCUUUCAAAAUCUUCAAUAUUUUGCCUUUUAGAAAGUCUUAAUCAUUGUGAGCUUCUUAUAAGACAAUGCUUUAACACCAUGUUAAUUAUAAAAAAAAGCAAUAAGUUAAUGAUUAUUCUUAUAAAAAGACUUGAUAUCCAAUUUGCAAUAGGUUGGUCAAGAUAUAUAUAAGGGGCUUUAAAUGUCAGUGAUACCAUUUCCCAAUGCUAAAUGACAGGGAUGGCCUCUGAUCUAGCAAUGUCAAAAGGUAAUAUUAUGACCACUAACAAAACAUCUGAUUGACGUUUUCAAUAGUUCAGCAGCGAGUCAUAUAAUAGUGAGAUCUCCUUUUUUAACAUGAACCGCCUUUGCCUAUAAAAUGGUUAGCCUUUUUUGUAAUCUUUGCUUGUAUUUUUGUUUUGCAGUUGGGUUUUUUACAAAAUUAAACUGUGCAAUCAGAACUCAUACUCCCCUUCUCCCCACAUAUACACACACAAACACGGAUGAGGAUAGGUUCCCUUGAAGAACUCACUGCCAUCUGACAUUGCUUUAAAGAUGCAACAACAACAAAUAUAUUUAAAACCAGCUGAGUUGGAAGAUAGGGUAAGUCAGGAUAUUUGGAUAAUUACAUCUUGAAACUUUCACUUUUAAGUCAUAAGUCUGAGGUCAAAAGUGAUUGAAAGUAAUGUCUUUCAGAGAACUCUGAUGGUGUGAAAUGUUUAUGGUUUCAGUCCAGUUCCUAUUAAAUAGGUGUCCACAUCACAGAAAUGAUGAUACUGUUCAGAAAUAGUAUCCUCAGAAGAGAAGCUAAGGAUUAUACGGGUAAGCAUAUUCUACUGCCUUCUCAUUCCAGCAUGAAAUCCAUUAAAAAUAUUAUGAAAGGCAUUUAGAGAGAAGCUUGAACUGUUACUUGUGUUCUACCUGUUCUGUACAUAGAGAAUUUCAGUCUCCAGUAUUCUUAAUCCAGCACUUUCAGGAAGACUAAUUUCAUGUAAGUAAAAGCUACCAUAUAAUCAAUUUGUCUCCUGAAGUCAUAAUCCUCUGUCUGUGACAUCACUAUCACUUACUGGGAAAUUGGCAUGGCGUGAUAAAGGGAAUUAUGACUUCAAAUAAGAAUUAAGCAGGAGGAACAUUAAAGAUAAUAACUGAAAUGUGGAAGUAAAUGGUGUUAGAGAUUAUAACAAUAAAAUAUAAAAUAAAUUGCUUCUAAAUAGUUUUUGAAAAUUUUCUUAUGAGGUGCCAAGAGGUCUCUGUGGAUUAAGCAGAUUAAAGCCUGUGAUGCCAAAGAAUUAUUGCAUUUACUUGUUGAUUUUCUUUAGUGCAUCCUUGAUAUAGUUAGAGUUUUAACACCAAAAGCUUUCUUUGGUACACAAAAUCAUAUGGUCUCUCUCUUAAUAAUUCAUUUAGUAUUAAGUUAAUACUCGAUCCUUAACGCACAAAAUUAUUAUAAAAAACAAGGGAAUUAUUUAAAGCCACAUUGUCAGCUUUCCUGUGACAAGGUUAUGGGGCUAGCAGCACCACUACCUCCUUUCUGGUCUCUCUGGCACCCCUUGAGGUGUGACCCAUCUUGGGGUGGAGUCUUGUGAUUCUUUUACUCUUAGGCCAGGACUUGGAUACCAACAAUUUAUCACCCUGCAGGGUACCUGCAUUUCUUCCCUUCAGGAUCUUGUGACAGAUAAGACUGACAAACAGCUUUCUUUAAAAAAUGUAUUUUUAUUUAGCAUUUGCUCAAAGUGUUACACAAUAAAAGGAUUUUUUUUUGAAAAGCCUACAUGUAAAGAAGCCUCAUCUAAUGUGCCUCUUCAUUUCAAACAUUUCAACAUGGGCUUUCCUCUUAAAUUACAGAAACAGAAGUGACCUGACUUACAUUCUCCUAGAAAGCUCAGAGAUUCUGUGACCCACCUUGGUCACCAUUCACAGUAUGACGUACUGUUCUUCUCUCCACACCUCUGCUUGUCUCUGACACUGAGAAUCUCUUCAUCUGGGUCUGUGUUUUGUUUUUCCAGUGAGCAGGAGCAUUCAUCAGGGUCUAUCCAGGAGAAUGCCCUUCUAAUGGCUGCUCCAUUGUUUGGGCAGCUGAACCUAUUCAGUCUCAAUGAAUUGUAACCACCUUCCGCGUGACUGUGUCUCCCCUUUAGCUGCAAGGGUCCAUGGGCUAUAACCUGAGUCUACAGAGCCUGCUUUUCCCACAGUGCCA